UGGGGUGCGGGGCUGAAUGACUGGAGAAAGGCCGGAAGCGGAAGGAAAGGGGCUUGGCCACCGAGGUCGCACCGCUGGGGCACGGGGAUGGGGGUCGUGGAUGCAGGCUGCUGAGGAGUCUGUAGGUGACUGGACAGGCUUCUUUGGGUAGAAUUAAUUUUUGUUUGCCUCUCUUCCGUCUCCCUCCCUUCUUUUUUCCUCUUUUCUCUCUCUCCCUUACUCUCUUCCCUAAUUUCCUCUUUCUGUUACCCCCUCUCCUCCACUCUUCUUUCCUUUUAUGACAGGGUUUCCUGUAGCCGAAGCUGCCUUAAACUCCCUAUCUGGCUGAGGACGAAUUCAAAUUUUUGAUUCUCUUGGCUCCAUUCUCCGGAGUGCUGACAUUACAGUCCACUCUGGAGUACAUAGCCCAAAACCUUAGCUGAACCGAACUGGAAAGGACGAAGCCUUACAUCCGUGAUGUAUUUGGGGUCUAAAGCCUCACCUCCCAUCAGGCAACGUUUAGCCAGAGCUUCUCUUCGAGCCCGGAUCUCAGCCACAGCACGUUGCAGCCGACUAUGGCCAUAUUGUUCUAUCCGUGCCCACAGACUACGGUUGAAGUGAGUAUAAAGAGCCCAGUCUAGAUUAUUCCAAGCUCGGGCCCGUGCAGUCAGCUGCUGCUCUUCAUUCGCCACACUCUUAUUGGCAGCACUGAGCCUCUGCUCACUUCUGGCCUGAGCAUUGUGCAUAAAGCCCACCACAUCAUCCAGACCCCAGCAAAGGGCAUCUGCCAACAGAACCAAUGACUCGUCAAAGUAUUCAGCCACCAUGACCAAGUCAAAGACAGAAUCCAACCAGGCCAGACCCCACUGGAUAAAAGAUGAGGGCCCAAAAUCUGAAGAGGCAAAGCUGGCUGGCUGUGCAUUAUUAUUAGCAACUGUGCUCAUAGGCUGGAAAAGAGUUCCAAGGCCAGCACCAGAAGGCACAAUAUGUAACUGGAGGGGGUUGGGGUCUCUGGGUAGAUGAGAACUCACUCUUCUCUCUGGGGGGAAGGGCAAACCAAAGUCGAACCAAAGUAAGUUUCGGGCAUAGUGGUUGCCACGGCCCCCGGGUCUGUAGAAGGCUUGAGGAUUGGACAGGAAGGCAGCCAAAGACGGUGCCUUUCGGAAGGCCGAUGAGGUUGACUUAUAAUAGGAGAAGGCAGAGCGGGCUAGAGCCGCUGGGUCUCGGACAAUGGAGAAGAAGAAGCUGUCAGAAGGCAUGACCUGAAGUACCUUCGGAGGAGAAAGAAAGCUUGACUAAGGAGAGAACAAGGACAAACUAAGGCUCUGGUGAGCCCUCACAACACUUAGCUUCCCUAACGUGCUGGGUGAUCUUGGGGGGAAAAGUAUGUAACACCUCUGAGACUCAAUUUGCUUGUCUGCAAAAGGGAAGUAGUCAGGGGUCUCCAGGUGACAGAUAAAUACACAAGGUAGCAGCUGGUCAGACAAGUUCUAGAUCAUUGUCUCCUUGGAUCUUUGUGUCCUCUUUAGUUCACAAAUACUCUCAAAGCUUGGGUUGAGGGAAUGGCUCAGUCAAUAGUGUUUGCCACACAAGCGUGAGGACCCAAGUCCAUACUCACUGUUUGUACAUAAAAGGCACAGGGGUGCUCACCCUGUGCCAAGGAGGUAGAGACAGGUAAAACCCUGGGAGCUGGCAGGCACACACCUAAAACCUCUAAGAACCAGACUUUGUGUUUACUCCCACAACAAAAAUUAUUUGUAUUCAUUUUUUGUGUGUGCAUAUGUGUGAGUGUUCAUGUGUGUGCACUUGUGCAUGUGGACUGGGGCAGGGGCUUAUUUCCUCAGGCACCAUCCACCUUUGUUUUCUUUCUUUCUUUCUUUUGUUUUUCAAGGCAGGGUUUCUCUGUGGCUUUGGAGGCUGUCCUGGAACUCGCUCUGUAGACCAGGCUGGUCUCGAAUUCACAAAGAUCUGCCUGCCUCUGAGUGCUGGGAUUAAAGGCGAGUGCCACCAUUGCCUGGCUCCACCUUUGUUUUCAAGACAGGAUCUCUCACUGGCCUGAGCAAGAGAUCAACUAGGCAAGGAAGGCUAGUCAGGGAGCCCCAGGGAUUCACCUGUUUCUGCCUCCUCAGUGCUGAGAACACAAGAGCUUGCUACCAUGCCCAGCUUUCUUACAUGGGCUCUGGGAGUCACACUCAGGCUUACAUAGUAAGCAUUUUACUCUGUCUCCCCAGCCCUACCCCUUUUUGAGACAGAGUCACACGCAGUCCAGGUGAUCUUGAACUCCUGCCACCCGAGCAUUGGUUUUUUCUUUUUGUUUGUUUUGAAACAGGGUUUCUCUGUGUAGCUUUGGAGCCUGUCCUGGCACUCACUCUGGAGACCAGGCUGGCCUCAAACUCACAGAGAUCCGACUGCCUCUGCCUCCAGAGUGCUGGGAUUAAAGGUGUGCAGCACCACUACUGGCCCAGCAUGAGCAUUGUAAUUAUAGACAGGGGCCAACAUGGCCCGGUGCUCGUGCAACACACACACACACACACACACACACACACACACACACACACUUGUGAAAUGCCUUUUUCUGGGACUCUUGGUCACAGCUUCAAGAAAGCAACUGGCUUUGAGGCCUCUCAGGGUGGGAGGAGGGAGACAUCAGGGACAGGGUUGUAUCCUCAGGCCAGUCCAAGAUGACUGAUGCAUGAGGCACUUCUGGGGCUCCUAAAGAGCUUAGAGAACAAAAGACACUCCUGAAGUAGGGCACUGGGGGUGGAGCUGUGCUGGAAAAUGGGUAGGACUAAAGUCUGGGAUGUGUGUGUCUAUUACUCACCAGGUACCUUGAGAAUCAGGCUGAGUUGUGCUGUAACAUGGCCCAGCUGACAGAUUGACAUGUUAUGUUAAUAGUUCCCACCCCCUGAAGGUUUCCUCCCUGAUAAUGACUUUUAUCGUGGAAUCUAACCUUCCCUCUAUCACAGUGGCCGUUGGUAAUAAGUCUGUUCUUCAGGGAGUUUUUAAAAUUAGGAUCAGGGGCUGGACAGAUGGUUCACUGGUUAAGAUCUUUAUAUGCUGCAACUUCAGGAACUAGUGUUCAGAUCCCAGCAACCAUAUAAUGAGCCAGGUAUCUCUACAUAUGCCUGUAAACCUACCUCCAGUGGGGGCAGAGACAGGAGUAUCACUGGGGCUUGCUGGCUUCCAGCCUAGCUGAGAACCUAGCCUCAUGUUCAGGGAGGGAUCCUGCCUCAAAGGAACAUACAGAAUGAUACCUGAGAAUCCCCUGCUACUCUUUUGUACAUGCAUAGACACACAUUGUCUGUCUCACACACACAAAUAAAUAAAUCUUCAGAUGAAUAAAAUAAAUAAGUUUGGGUCAAUCUCCAAAAUGAUAAUAGGAACUUAUUUGGAAUUUAAGGUGUUCUGCUAUGCAUCUGGAAACUAUAUGUACAAGCCCCCAAAUCAGCAACAAGGCAUCCUCCCAAAAGAGAACAAAUGGUUAUAUUUCUCAUAUUGUCAAGAAAUGUCAUUCCGCAAACUCCAAUCCGUUCCUCAACUCUGCAGGAGACAACCAGAGAACAAAUGGCCACUCACAUUUCAUUGAGUGAAGAUUUAAGAGCGAGGACAUGGAACAGACUGAAAGUUUACUGAGGAAAAAAAGGAAACACAAAUAUUUUUCUAAAGGAGCUAUGAUAGGCUGGAGAGAUGGCUCAGUGGGUAAAGUGCUGUGCAAGUAUGAGGACCUGGGUUUGGAUCCCCGUGACCCAUGUAAAUAAAGUUAGAUGUAGUAAGUUGCCUCAGUAAUCUCCAAGGGUGAGAUGGGAGGUGGAGACAGGUGAGUCCCCAGAAGCCCACAGACCAGUUAGCCUGGAGUACAUAGCCACAAAGGGCAAAAAAGACCAUCUCAAAUGAGGUGAAAGGCAAGAACUAACACAAGGUUGUCCUCUGACUGCCCCACACUCACCAUGGCACACACUACCCUGUGUCACAGUUAUGGACACACACAUCCUACACAUGAAGGGUUUUUGUUAUUUUUUUUUAUUAAGCCUUUCCUUAACUGAUUUUUUUUUAAAAAAUUUCUUCAUUAAUAUGGGCAAUGCCCAGAGGGCAAAGCCUUUGAACUCUGGUUUUUUGGAAAGCAGAAGGUAGUAACUGUCCCUGGCAUCAAAAAUAAGUUUUCCCAGCUCUACCAUUUGUAACUUGUGUGGCUUUGGCACUUUACUGAUGUUAUCAGAAGCUUUGUCUCUUCAGGUAUAAGUCUGUAUUAGUGUAUCGGGAAGCGUGUGGUCAUUGGCCCACUCUUCACAGUGGCCCCUCAUUAUACAGCAGUGGCCAAUGACCAGAGUCACUGAACUAAAUCCCUGUAAUGGCUGAGAGAGCCCUCAUCCAGUGGCUGAUGGAAGCAGAGACAGACAUCCAC